UACGUAGGGCGCAAGCGUUAUCCGGAAUUAUUGGGCGUAAAGAGCUCGUAGGCGGUUUGUCGCGUCUGCCGUGAAAGUCCGGGGCUCAACUCCGGAUCUGCGGUGGGUACGGGCAGACUAGAGUGAUGUAGGGGAGACUGGAAUUCCUGGUGUAGCGGUGAAAUGCGUAGAUAUCGAGAGGAACACCUGCGGCGAAGGCGGGUUGCUGGGCCGACACUGACGCUGAGUGCGCGAAAGCCAGGGGAGCAAACGGG
rnacentral:rRNA from 1 species